UACGUAGGGUGCGAGCGUUGUCCGGAAUUAUUGGGCGUAAAGAGCUUGUAGGCGGUCUGUCGCGUCUGCUGUGAAAAUCCGGGGCUCAACCCCGGACUUGCAGUGGGUACGGGCAGACUAGAGUGUGGUAGGGGAGACUGGAAUUCCUGGUGUAGCGGUGAAAUGCGCAGAUAUCAGGAGGAACACCUAUGGCGAAGGCAGCUCGCUGGGACGUUACUGACGCUGAGACGCGAAAGCGUGGGGAGCAAACAGG
rnacentral:rRNA from 1 species